UUUAUACGACCGCAAAAAUUGAAAAUUUUUUGGUCGUAUAUUGGUAUGACGUUGGCGUCGUCGUCGUCGUCGUCUGGCGUCGUCCGGCGUCGUCCGAAGACACAUUGGUUUUCACACUCUAACUUUAGUUUAAGUGAAUGGAUCUCCAUGAAAUUUUACCAUAAGGUUCAAUACCACAAAAGGAAGGUUGGGAUUGAUUUUGGGGGUUAUGGUAAUAACAGUAAAGGAAUUAGGGGCCAAAAAUAAGCAUUUUUGUAACUUCCAGACAUAACUUGUGUGUUAGUGUAUGGAUCUCUCUGACAUUGUACCACAAGGUUCCAUAUCACUAAAGGAAUGCUGGGAUUGAUUUUGGGGGUAAUUGCCUCCAAAUUUUAGGAAUUAGGGGCCAAAAAAAGGGCAAAAAACAAGCAUUUUUCUAGUUUCAUGACAAUAACUUGUGUGUAAGUGUUUGGAUAUUUCUGAAAUUGUACUACAAGGUUCCAUAUCACAAAGGGAAAGCUGGAAUUGAGUUUGGGGGUAAUUGCCCUAAACGUUUAGGAAUUUGGGGCCAAAAAGGGGCCAAAAAACACAUUUUUUUCUAGUUUCCAGACAAUAACUUGUGUUCAAGUGUAUGGAUCUCUCUGAAAUUGUACUGCAAGGUACCAUACCACAAAAGGAAGGCUGGGAUUGAGUUUGGGGGUGAUGAAUCAUAAUGGGGGUUCAAAAAAUUUUGGGGGGGGAUUUAUUUUUUUUUCCUUUUUUUUCUUUUUUUCCUUUUUUGUUUCUUUUAAAAUUUUCCAUUUUAAGUUGGUUAUUUCUGAUUUAUAUUUAAAAUCAAAUAAUAAUGAUAUGGUAGGAGAUACACACCAAACAGGAUGUGUAAAUUAUUAUAUAAUAAGUAUUGUGCAAUAGCAAGAAAUUUUCAAUUGCACAGUAUUGCACAAUAGCAAGAAAUCUUCAAUUGCACAGUAUUGCGCAAUAGCAAGAAAUCUUCAAUUGCACAGUAUUGCGCAAUAGCAAGAAAUAUCCAAUAGCACAAUAUUGCGCAAUAGCAAGAAAUUGUCAAUUGUACAGUAUUGCGCAAUAGCAAGAAAUAUUUAAUAGCACAGGAUUGUGCAAAAGAAGAUACUUCCUAUAAAUUGCUUAUUUCUUGACCAAUUUCAAUGGGGUUUUAUUCUUGAUUUCAUGGGGUUCUUUAAUAUGCUGAAUCUAACCGUGUAUUUAGUUUUUGGAUUUUGGGCCUCGUUUUUAAAUUGGUCCACAUUGAGGUCCAAAGGGUCCAAAAUUAAACUUUGUUUGAUUUCAUCAAAAAUUGAAUUAUUGGGGUUCUUUGAUAUGCCGAAUCUAACUGUGUAUUUAGAUUCUUAAAUUUUGGUUCCGUUUUCAAAUUGGUCUACAUUAAGGUCCAAAGGGUCCAAAAUUAAACUUAGUUUGAUUUUAACAAAAAUUGAAUUCUUAGGGUUCUUUGAUAUGCUGAAUCUAAACAUGUAUUUAGAAUUUUGAUUAUGGGCCCAGUUU